rnacentral:lncRNA from 1 species
GAAAAUGUUAACAAACUCUCUGGAAUCCUGUAUUUGUCUGAGGGUGGUGUGCCCAGCACUUUUCCCAGUGGCCAGGCUGCGUUUGUGAAUCCAGAGGCAGUUCAUCCGGGAGUCUGAACAAAGAAGUUUGGGUUUUGCUGAUGCUGUUCAGCUUCUCAGGGAUGCAUCAGGAGGUCUCUCCAAGCUGACUCAAGGGACUGACCCCAGGAACAUCACAGAUGUCACAGCAGAAUUGCAUCACAUUCUAAAUGUCAAGGUGCUGUCAGGCAGCCUG